rnacentral:rRNA from 1 species
AUACGUAGGGAGCGAGCGUUGUCCGGAAUUACUGGGCGUAAAGGGCGCGUAGGCGGCGCUUCAAGUCGUCUGUCAAAUGGGAGGGCUUAACCCUUUUUCGCAGACGAAAAUGGAGAGCUUGAGAAGCAGAGAGGCAAACAGAAUUCCUGGUGUAGCGGUGAACUGCGUAGAUAUCAGGAAGAAUACCAGUGGCGAAGGCGGUUUGCUGGCUGCAUACUGACGCUGAAGCGCGAAAGCCAGGGGAGCAAACGGGAUUAGAUACCCCGGUAGUCCUGGCAGUAAACGAUGUAUGCUGGGUGUGAGACUAGCGAUAGUUUCGUGCCGAAGUUAACGCGAUAAGCAUACCGCCUGGGGAGUACGGUCGCAAGAUUGAAACUUAAAGGAAUUGACGGGG